UAUAACUUCGUAGUUUCUAAAAACUCUCAUAAGCGUUAUAAAGAAAAUAUAAUCUAUUUCAUUCAUGCAACUAAAGUAAACUAUGGUCAAAAUUGCAAAGUUUCUUUACGUUCUGAUUAUCUCUCUUUCCUUAUUUCUUUUUGCAAUCACUGUCGACGGGGCUUAUGUAACACGUUUUUGGUGUUAUCGAGAUUUGGAUUGUCGAAAAGACAUGUGCAAGCCUCCUUUUAAUCCGAGGUGUCAUAAUCAUAUUUGUAUAUGUCGUUUAUGGGGAUUAUAGUUUAUAUGAGUAACAGUCCCAAAAUAGUACGCAGAAGUCCGAUUAGAAUAUUUCUUAAGAUGUCAUUUAGUUAUAUCAUAUAGUCAUGAAUGCACCAAUAAUCAACAACAACAAUAUUUUCAUUAA